UCUCAUGUGAUCACUGAAGUUAAGCAAUGUUAAGCCUGGUUAGUACUAAGAUGGGUGACCACUUGGGAAUAGCAGAUGCUGUAAG